UUGAACUCACAGUGUCCUGCUGGUGCCUUAAAUACUUACCAAGCUGCCUUAAGAGUUGGAUAAUGUUGAAUGUAAAUGUCUCUAGCAAGAUAACCAGUCUUAUCUCUCCAAAAACAGGCUGCCCAGACUUUCUUUCUCCAAUUCAAGUUUGCAAGUUCCCUGUUCCUCAGGCAAGUUCACAGGGUUCCAAGUUAGAGAUGAAUGUAAGCUGACUCAGUUCACCCAAUGUGUUGUUGCAUCCUCUUAAAUGAAAAGCAUAAAAACUAAGGUCUUAAAAUGUAUAUAGGAGAAACUGUUGAUGAAGAAACUGUCCAAUACUAUCUAAUUAAGUAAUUUGAUUUUCAGGUAAAUGGAACAUGAUUAUGAAACUUGCAAAUUUUACUUUCUGUCUCAUGAUUUUAUUUAUUUGAUUUGUCAAUCGUUUACAAGAUAAUAGGUAUAAGUAUAAACAUAAGUAAGAAUACAGAAAAUAGGUACGAA